AGGGCCAGGAACAUGAAGAGGUACAUCAACCAACUGACUGUGGCAAAGAAGCAGUGUGAGAAGAGAAUCCGAAUCCUGGGAGGCCCUGCCUAUGACCAGCAAGAGGAUGGGGCCGUGGAUGAGGGGGAAGGGCCUCAAAGCCAGAAGGACAAAAUAUGAAACACCAAGAAAAAGAGAAGGAAAAAAAGGAGGAAACAACCACAUAUGUCACCUUUCCAAGAGGGGCUGAAACCGGGCUGACCCUUUUGAUUUCCAAACUCAGCGUUUUGGUGUAAGGCGGCCAAAGAAGGAUGCAGAGCCCAGCACUGUGAAGCCUACAAAAACAUUGAUGCGCUGGCUUGGGGAUUUGAAUUUGAACAUCUUUCACAGCAAGUUCAGACUCAUGAAACCAAUCUUCAGAUGCUCUGUAAACC
rnacentral:lncRNA from 1 species